rnacentral:rRNA from 1 species
UACAGAGGGUGCAAGCGUUAAUCGGAAUUACUGGGCGUAAAGGGCGCGUAGGUGGAAGGAUAAGUUGGAUGUGAAAGCCCUGGGCUUAACCUAGGAACUGCAUCCGAUACUGUUUUUCUAGAGUACAGUAGAGGGAAGUGGAAUUUCCGGUGUAGCGGUGAAAUGCGUAGAUAUCGGAAGGAACACCAGUGGCGAAGGCGGCUUCCUGGACUGAUACUGACACUGAGGCGCGAGAGCGUGGGGAGCGAACAGG